CUGGAACGACCAAGAGCCAUAAAUGAUAACAAAAAUCACCAGAUCCAAGCAAACACAUGAGUCUCAGAUACUUAAGAAGUUACCACCAUGCUCAACAACAAAGAUGGUUCUUGAAUGGAAGACGUAAAUUCAAGUCUAAUGCCGACUAGAAGAAUCAAAGAAGAAAAGAAAGGUGGAGAAAGCUGUCACAGUCAAGUACCAAACUAGAGCCAGGAGAUCUGAGCAUCAAUGGUAGAAGUCAAAAGCAUCGGACGAAGGAUCCUAUUUCCAGUGAAGACUAUGACAGAAUUGUAUGAUGUGACACCAUAUGGACCACGAACCACAAGCAUACUGUACACGGUCCUUCCCAGAAAACAUUUGCUGGCCCUGAACUAGACCAUGGAGAAAUACCAAGAUGCAGUUUUUCUAAACUCAAAGUUGGAGGAAAGUACAUACACUGAGCUGAGGAACACCUGGAAGUAUCAUGUUUAAAGGCACCGGUCAGGGGAAGCUUGGCUGAGGAGAAACAGAGAUGUGUCUGAUACAUUGAGAGCAAGAAUGAGGAAGUUCCUGGAACAGUAAUCACGAAGACAACCAAGGUUUGUCAAGAAGUGGGCAGCCGCCAGCAUACUCUCUGGCCACUGUAUCCACCCUCAUGAUGGACCGAAAUCUCUUAAAUAAUGAGCCGAUAUGAACCGUCUGUCCUUAUUUCAGAGAUGACAAAGGGACAAAACUGGGAAAGAGGUCACCAAUCACCGUUGUCAAGAAGGAGACAAGGCCUGACCACACACCAGAGAGCCUGUAGACAGGGUGUAUUCUCAGAUGGGGAAGUCAUGGCAACACUAGCAGACCCCAGUCCUUGCUCCUGCUGUGGAAAGUGACUUAGUCCAAAGACUUGCUUGGACGUGACACUGGUGACAUCUGUACACUCAGAAAUUUGCAUUUUAGAGCAGGAAGCCAGAUCCCAGUGGGUAGGAUCCUGGGGUAAGAACUGGGA
rnacentral:lncRNA from 1 species